rnacentral:rRNA from 1 species
GGUCUCAGUUCGGAUUGAAGGCUGAAAUUACGCCUUCCAUGAAGCUGGAAUUGCUAGUAAUGGCAGGUCAGCAUACUGCCGUGAAUACGUUCCCGGGCCUUGUACACACCGCCCGUCACACCAUGAGAGUUGGAAAUACCCGAAGCCUGUGAGCUAACAGUAAUGAGGCAGCAGUCGAAGGUAGAGCCAAUGAUUGGGGUGAAGUCGUAACAAGGUAUC